UACGUAGGUGGCAAGCGUUGUCCGGAAUUAUUGGGCGUAAAGCGCGCGCAGGUGGUUCCUUAAGUCUGAUGUGAAAGCCCACGGCUCAACCGUGGAGGGUCAUUGGAAACUGGGGAACUUGAGUGCAGAAGAGGAAAGUGGAAUUCCAAGUGUAGCGGUGAAAUGCGUAGAGAUUUGGAGGAACACCAGUGGCGAAGGCGACUUUCUGGUCUGUAACUGACACUGAGGCGCGAAAAGCGGUGGGGAGCAAACAGG
rnacentral:rRNA from 1 species